rnacentral:rRNA from 1 species
UGCGUAGGCGGGUUUCUAAGUCAGAGGUGAAAGCCUGGAGCUCAACUCCAGAACUGCCUUUGAUACUGGAAGUCUUGAGUUCGGGAGAGGUGAGUGGAACUGCGAGUGUAGAGGUGAAAUUCGUAGAUAUUCGCAAGAACACCAGUGGCGAAGGCGGCUCACUUGCCCGAUACUGACGCUGAGGCACGAAAGCGUGGGGAGCAAACA